rnacentral:rRNA from 1 species
UACGUAGGGUGCGAGCGUUAAUCGGAAUUACUGGGCGUAAAGCGUGCGCAGGCGGUUCGUUAAGUCAGAUGUGAAAGCCCCGGGCUCAACCUGGGAACUGCAUUUGAAACUGGCGGGCUUGAGUGUGGCAGAGGGGGGUGGAAUUCCGCGUGUAGCAGUGAAAUGCGUAGAUAUCUGGAGGAACACCGGUGGCGAAGGCGGCAUCCUGGACCAAUACUGACGCUGAGGAGCGAAAGCCAGGGGAGCAAACAGG